rnacentral:rRNA from 1 species
GACGAACCGUGCGAACGUUAUUCGGAAUCACUGGGCUUAAAGCGUGUGUAGGCGGAUGUCUAAGUACCUUGUGAAAUCCCACGGCUCAACCGUGGAACUGCUUGGUAUACUGGAUGUCUUGAGCCAUCUAGGGGCUACCGGAACAAAUGGUGGAGCGGUGAAAUGCGUAGAUAUCAUUUGGAACGCCAAUGGUGAAAACAGGUAGCUGGGGAUGUGCUGACGCUGAGACACGAAAGCCAGGGGAGCGAACGGG